rnacentral:tRNA from 1 species
UCCUAAGUAGCUCAGCUGGUUAGAGCAUCUGACUGUUAAUCAGAGGGUCCCUGGUUCGAGCCCAGGCUUGGGAGCAA